AGCUUGAACUUCAGUACAGACCGGAAGACUGAGCAUGCUUACAUGGCAGCACCUACUGGCCAAGUGGGAUACGGCAGCUUUAGAAAAUAGCCUGUCCUCCUUGCAAGAUGUAGUGUCCUGCAUGAGCUGUGUGUUCUUUGAUGGACCCGAGUGGUUUUGACUUUUUUCUCUGAAAUGGAGAUCACCUGUUCUUAAUUCCUGCAUACAGGUUAUGCUUCGCAUUAGCAUACCUACCAUGUGGACUUUAAUGUUCGGCUUGUUGUAGCAGAGUUACAGGGGAAAGUUCACUGGUGUUUUUGUUAAGAAAAUUGGAGCAUCAUUAGGGAAUUCAGAGGUUCCUUGCGUGAACGUGCGGUGUCAGUAAACCACAUAAGCAAAAACAGAGUUGAUAACCUUAAAAGUAAGAUACAAAUUUGAAUGCAAGCUGUUCUCCUCAAAGGAAGAACGUGAGUGGGGCUUGAUCGGUUCCUGCGUGGGGAUGUGCAGCUCGCCUUGCCUGGACCCUCUGGAAGGCAUCCCUUUCUCUUGUACCUCAGG